rnacentral:tRNA from 1 species
GGAGAGGUGACCGAGCGGUUGAAGGUGCACGCCUGGAAAGCGUGUGUAGGGCAACUUACCCAGGGUUCGAAUCCCUGCCUCUCCGCCA